AUUCUUCGCGGUGUUUGUGUUUGUUUUCUUGUCGUCGCAGCUGAAACACGCGCAAGAGGUGUUGGCGUCGGGGGAUUCGAUCAAGACUUGGUGGGCGGAGCAGAGGGUGUGGAUGAUGAAGUCAUUGACAUCUUACUUCUUUGCUGCCGUGAACGCGAGUUUGGAGAAGGUCGGAUUGAUCAAUUCUAGCUUUGUCCCAACAAACAAAGUGACAGACGAUGAAGCAGAGAAGCUCUAUCAAAUGGGGAAAUACGACUUCCAAGCACCACCUCUCUUCAUGCUCAUACUGUGCACACUUUACUUGCUUAAUAUUGCUUCCUUCGUCGUCGGAUUUGUGAAGAUUUUGCAGAAUGGGAAGAU
rnacentral:lncRNA from 1 species